rnacentral:rRNA from 1 species
UACGUAGGGUGCAAGCGUUGUCCGGAAUCAUUGGGCGUAAAGCGCGUGUAGGCGGCCCGAUAAGUCCGCUGUGAAAGUCCAGGGCUCAACCCUGGGAUGCCGGUGGAUACUGUCGGGCUCGAGUCCGGAAGAGGCGAGUGGAAUUCCUGGUGUAGCGGUGAAAUGCGCAGAUAUCAGGAGGAACACCAAUGGCGAAGGCGGCUCACUGGCCCGGUACUGACGCUGAGAUGCGAAAGCGUGGGGAGCAAACAGG